GGAAGAACACCGGUGGCGAAGGCGGCCCGCUGGACCAUUACUGACGCUGAGGCACGAAAGCGUGGGGAGCAAACAGGAUUAGAUACCCUGGUAGUCCACGCCGUAAACGAUGGAUACUAGGUGUUGGGUGUAUCUACCCGGACAGUGCCGUACCUAACGCGUUAAGUAUCCCGCCUGGGGGAGUACGCACGCAAGUGUGAAACUCAAAGGAAUUGACGGGGGGCCCGCACAAGCGGUGGAGUAUGUGGUUUAUUUCAAUGCAACGCGAAAAACCUUACCUGGACUUGACAUGUCCGGAAUCCUGUGGAAAUACAUUGUGUGCCUUCAGGAGAUCGGAACACAAGUGGUGCAUGGCUGUCGUCAGCUCGUGUCGUGAGAUG
rnacentral:rRNA from 1 species